AGCCGUUGGAGGGGAGGGUGUCCCGGAGGGGUCUACGGAGGCCGGGGCGAGCGACUGAAGUGGCCGAGUGGGAGGGCGCAGGAGGCGCCGAGGGGUCCUGCAGUCGGUCCACGGCCCUACUACGGAGAGGCUCUGUGCUGUGCCCUGGGAAACCCGCGGGGAGGCAGAUGGGGGCUGUCAUCCCUAGUCCGGUAGAAGGAAGUAAAACACAGUGCUGCAUAUAGCAACAUAAUUAAUCUCCUUCUUGGUGUGAGACAUGGAAGUCAGAAAGCUGCACCUCAAAGUAUGUACUCCCAGGACAAGGAGCUCCUUGAGGACAAGGACUUUGGCUACUUCGUUCACCUCGGCUCUCCAAAUACCAACAGUGCCUGGCACACAAUCACCCAAGGGAAAUUGAAACAGAGGCCCACUGGGCAGAACAAAGAAGGUGUAAUUACUUCCAAGUGCGGGGCUGUAAAAGGUUAUAAUGCUGAUGGCAUCUAAGCUGAAUCUUAAAUGGUGAGUAGAACUUGGGGAGGUGAAUUUGUGGAGUCAGUGACACUGCAAGAAAAGGGUAAUGUAUAGAAGCAUGGCCACAAACUCCAGGAUCAAUGGUGGUUUAACGUCCCUAAAGCAUUAGUGGAGUUUGUGGUAGUUAGGCGCCUGAAUGGCUCAGUAGGUUCAGGUUUUGGUUCAGGUC